rnacentral:rRNA from 1 species
GACGAACGCUGGCGGCGUGCCUAACACAUGCAAGUCGAGCGAAUGAAGUUCCUUCGGGAAUGGAUUUAGCGGCGGACGGGUGAGUAACACGUGGGCAACCUGCCUCAUAGAGGGGAAUAGCCUUCCGAAAGGGAGAUUAAUACCGCAUAAGAUUGUAGUACCGCAUGGUACAGCAAUUAAAGGAGCAAUCCGCUAUGAGAUGGGCCCGCGGCGCAUUAGCUAGUUGGUGAGGUAACGGCUCACCAAGGCGACGAUGCGUAGCCGACCUGAGAGGGUGAUCGGCCACAUUGGGACUGAGACACGGCCCAGACUCCUACGGGAGGCAGCAGUGGGGAAUAUUGCACAAUGGGGGAAACCCUGAUGCAGCAACGCCGCGUGAGUGAUGACGGCCUUCGGGUUGUAAAGCUCUGUCUUCAGGGACGAUAAUGACGGUACCUGAGGAGGAAGCCACGGCUAACUACGUGCCAGCCGCCGCCGUAACAC